rnacentral:rRNA from 1 species
AUGUACAUUCCUACAACAUAGAGUUAAUGCAUCGAAUCCCAUUAGAACUCCACAUUUAAGCACACUCAGGCUAGAGUAUCAUUGGGAUGGGUGAUCGCCAGGGAAGUCCUAGUAUGUUACAUG